CCUUCUCAGUACCACCCACUCUCUCCCGACCAGGUAAUUAUUAACAAACAGGCUACGGGUGCAGCAUUGCCUCAACAAGGAAAACUCACCAGAAGUUGGUUCACCCCCUCCCAAGAAGACACCCCACUUCCCACCUGGGGAACCCCAAGAGGGUUCACUUCUUCAUGUUUGUGCAGUGCAUGGAGGUUCGCCUGGCCCUUGCUGCUCCCCGAGGGCCCGGGGAACCACUUGGAAAAUCUGGUCUCCAACCAGCCCCUCACUAGCUGUGUGAAGUUGAGCUCAUUUACUCCCUCUCUGAGCUUCAGUCGCCCACCUCCCUCCUACAACAUGAGGGGCUGGAUCAGACAGGGGGCAGCAAGCUCCAGCGCCGCCUUCCUAGAUCAGUAAUCAGUGAACCCCUGCACCCUUGCACCCUUGCACCCUCCUGGGGCAGCCAUUUCUCAAGCUAUGUGGGGAAGGACUGCAGGGAGCAAUGUGGCCCUGGGUGCCCUGACUGAGAUGACCUUGACCAUUCAGGCAUCCUCUAGCAGACUUUCUGGAUGUGUUUCCAAGUCGUUGGGCCUUAAGGUAAGUGAAAUAUACACCACUGAGCAGCACAGUGGGCUGGGAGCCCUGAGCGAUGUAGACAUGGGGAUGGCAGAGCAGGCACAAGCACAGCCCUGGAGCCAGCUGGCCUGAGGUCCAAAAUGGGUCAACACCAGGACAAGAGAGGAAGCUAGCAGGUCAGGCAAAGUGAGAGCUACUGUCUCAGUGGAUUCUCGCUUUCCCUCACUCAUCUCUCUCUUUCCCUUGCCUAUACACUCUAGGUAUACUAAGCUUGGCCCAUUUUACACAUGAGAAAAUGUAAGCCCGGAGACAUUGUUAGCUCAGAUUCCAGAGUCAGGGUCUGCUCCGUGGCCACUGAACAUGAAGCCCAUAUUCCUUCCCAGCAUCUGCUGCUUCUCCACUUGGACAGACUUUUCCUGCCACCGGAAUAGCAGCUGCUGCUUUGCUUACUGCUGUACCACGCGCUAGAGCAGAAUGUGGUGCAGGGGACAUGCUCCAUGGAUGUUGACUGAGUAAGUCAAUGAGUGAAAGAUGGCCAUGGAUUUUUGCUCUGAUGAAUGUGAAAAUACAUUAUUCCCCUUACAAUGGUCUACAGUCUGGGGUUUUGCUUUUUUAGUCUUGCUUCUUCAGUGAGUUUGGGGCUGAUGCCACAGAUUCCAGGGGUUAGCGUAUGCUUGGCUGCAGCCCAGGGGAUGGACAGCUUGUCCCUGCCAUGAGCACACAGUCACUGCCCUUUAGUUUCUGGCGCCUGCCCCUGGUAUGUUCUGGACAGAGGCUGGGCUUUGGCGUCAGACAAGCUCCCUCACUGCUGAGAUUUGUGACUUUGGGCAAGUCACUCCACCUCUCUGAACCUCAGUUUUUCACGUGUCAAAUGAGAAGCAAUAAUCACUAAUCAGAAAACUGAUAUUAAGGGCAGGGGGGCAGCACUCUUAAAUGUUCUGAGCCCUGUAUCAGUCUUAAUGGGUGCUUCCUUCUUCCCUUCCCAUCCCAGCAGUGGUGGACAGCCAGACUGUCUGGGUUGAAUCUAGACUCCACCACUACUUAAGUUACUUAACUCUGCCUCAGUGUCUUCAUCUGUAAACUGUGGGUAAUAAUUGCCCCUAAAUCUCAGGGUUGUCAACAAGAUCAGUAAACUGACAUCUGUAAAGUCCUAGAAUAGCAUCUGGCCAUAGUGAGUGCAGUGGAAGCGUGAGUUAGUCUGUCGUAUUAUUUCAGAUGGGUUGUACAUUACUCAUUUAUCCCCAAAGGUGUACACAUGGCUGAAACCAUGUUGUUAAACUUGUUUUGAGUUGUGGUCCUGAUUAUCUCAAGAAAGCUUUGAACUCUCCCUGAAAUAUGCACAGAUGUAUGUUUUACAAUUUAGGGAGAUUCUUGAAUCCCAUGAAGUCCAUGCAGUCCCCGUGGGCUACAGCAGUUAUUUUUUCCUGCAAAGAGCAGGCCCAUAUAAAGGAAAGGUGGAAAGAACUCUCAGGCAUGUAGUGGGAGCUACUGACUUGGACCCUGCAGGAGAAGGAGGGAAUGACGGCAAUUGGUGUGGCUGCAGGCUGGGCUCAGUUGCUAACUCCAGCCUCAGUCCUGCCUGCUUCUUGUCUUAAGGUCUCUGGGAGGGCUUCAGGAUUGUUGAACCCUUGCCUGUUACAAUUUGAAGGCCAAGUGUUUCUUGUUAAUCAUCUGUAAGGUCCCAGAGGACAAUGAAUUGUGCCACAGUCAUAUCUGGGCACAUUAGAACAGGCCUGGCCUAUAGAAGAUGCUUAACAGAAGUCAGUCAUUGAAUGAAUGAAUGAAUGAAUGAAUGAAUGAAUGAAGAGAUGCCAAAGGCCCUGCUCAGAGGUGCUGCUCAGAUGUUCCAGUGGCAAGCUCCUAAAAUCUGCAACACUCUCGGCAAGUACUGAUUUAAGGAAGCAGGGAUAAGUUGCCUGACCAGGAAGGCCAGGGUGGAUGUGGGGAAGCAGAGGGCUUGACUGCCUCUCUGCCCCUAGGAAAUACCACUGGGCCAGAUGGGGCAGCUGCUGUGACACCACUGAUGUCCCCGGCAGGGAGCCGCUUUUUCCAGCAUCCCAGAAACUGCCUGAACUGUGCUGUAGGCAUGAAUCCCACUCCCUGACACCCUCCUCUGCUCCACUGCAUCCUAAAUUGCAACCCAGCCCUUUCUCAAUGGCUGUCUUGGUCUCCCAUUCCAGCACAGGCUCCACUUAUGCUGCCCUCCUGCUAACUGCUCCCAAUCCCCUUCCCAUUCCCUGGAUUCCAAAUGGAGCCAGGAAAUUAAUCUGCCCUUAAAAAGGCUGUCCUUGUUUUGAAUUUGAUUGGCAAUGCAAUAAUGGUCAUCAUGAAAAAUAUGGGAAAGUAAAAAAAACCUGGAGAAGAAAAUAAAAUCAUUUGCAAACCUGG